CGACGUGGGUAACCUGCCUCAUACAGGGGGAUAGCAGCUGGAAACGGCUGAUAAAACCGCAUAAGCGCACAGCAUCGCAUGAUGCAGUGUGAAAAACUCCGGUGGUAUGAGAUGGACCCGCGUCUGAUUAGCUUGUUGGUGAGGUAACGGCCCACCAAGGCGACGAUCAGUAGCCGGCCUGAGAGGGUGACCGGCCACAUUGGGACUGAGACACGGCCCAA
rnacentral:rRNA from 1 species